UCGAGGAUCUUCGGCAAUGGGCGCAAGCCUGACCGAGCGACGCCGCGUGUGCGAUGAAGGCCUUCGGGUUGUAAAGCACUGUCGAGGGGGAGAAAGCUCCGCAAGGGGUUGAUCUAUCCCUGGAGGAAGCACGGGCUAAGUUCGUGCCAGCAGCCGCGGUAAGACGAACCGUGCGAACGUUGUUCGGAAUCACUGGGCUUAAAGGGCGCGUAGGCGGGCGGUCAAGUCUGUGGUGAAAUCCUUCGGCUCAACCGGAGAAUAGCUGGAGAUACUGGCCGUCUCGAGGGGGGUAGGGGCAUGUGGAACUUCCGGUGGAGCGGUGAAAUGCGUAGAUAUCGGAAGGAACGCCGGUGGCGAAAGCGACGUGCUGGACCCUUUCUGACGCUGAGGCGCGAAAGCCAGGGGAGCAAACGGGAUUAGAUACCCCCGUAGUCC
rnacentral:rRNA from 1 species